rnacentral:misc_RNA from 1 species
AAUUAUCAACCAUGUCUCGAUUGAUUUCGGGCGCAUGGCUUGGAUGUGGGGGUUGCUGGCCGUGAAAGCGGUCGGCUCUCCUUAAAUGCAUUAGCAAAAGGGGUGUGCUAUGGUCUUCUGGACGUGCACGGCCUUCGACGUGAUAAUGAUCGUCGUGGCUGGAGCGUCUGAUAAUAAGGCCAUGCACAGAGAGCCCGUUUUGCUUCUAAUGACAAGAUUCUCUCGUCUUAGUGGUCGGAAGCACUGCUAGCUAUUAGUCUACUAGCCUAUUAGCCUACUAGUCCAAUGGACGAACGGUGAAACAGUGAACGGCGAACGUGGCAAGGCGGAUGGGGAUAAGCUAGACUUGAGAUGAAAUAUAUAUUG